AAGUAAAUACCUAAAUUUGAAGUGUGUUAUUUACAAUAACAAAAUGGCUAGUUGCCUUUACUUU
rnacentral:tRNA from 1 species